GCAGAAAAAAAUGCAUGUCUCUGUCCGGGCUGCGAUGUGAGGGAGAAAAUAGCUUGGGUGUCUGCAGUAGGGCAGAAGCAGGGCAGUCCUGCCAUGUACUGCUAGAGGCAAGAGGGAAAACCUGAGGACAGAAGCCUUUAAGAUGGGAGUGCUGCCAUGAGAAGUUAUAGCAGGGGAAGGCUGUGAAGGGAGCCCAGAGGAGCGUGGAGAUAGAAGGGCAGCCAGAUUGGGUCAAGUGUCAUCAGGUGUGUAACAGGAGGCAAGCAUAGGGUCUGGAUUUGGGUUACUGAGUGAAGUGAGAGGUGGAGAGAGCAGCAGACAAGACUGUAAGCAGAGCAAAAAAGUUAAAAAAUGAUAAAUAAAAUUAAAAAGUAAAAUAAACAGGUUAGUGUCACAUCUUGUCCAGAAGGGGAAGGAAGAGGUGACCAGAUUCCUUUACACUUAGUGCGGUCCCUGUGUCUCCUGUGUGGUUGCUGCUGAUGUGUGAAAUUCAGGUCACUUGCCAGAUGGUGUUGUUAGCCACCUCUGGAGUGUCUGCCUCUAGGAAGCUUAGAGCAUCUCCUUCCAGGAAGAAGGAUGGAAGGAUGGGCUUUCACCUGUUUUUCUUAGAGACACACCAGAUAAAUAUUCCCUGUUGUCUUGUACUUCCUACAGAGUGGAUCAUCCACUCAGUACAUGUAAUGUUGUGAAGAAGAGCAGCAGAAUAAUUUUCUUCUGUGAUACAUUUCUCCAAGAGGAAAAUAUUUUUAAAGGAGAACAAAAGGGAAGAAGAUACUGAAUUUAGUGAAGACAUGUACCAAUUAGCUUGUAGAAGUCCAUCUCUCUCUCAUGUUUAGAGAUCACACAAGAGAUGCUCACAGUUGAUUUAUCAGCUGCAUGCACAAAUUCAUUUGCGGUAGAAUCCCAGUCCCACUGAGGCCAAUAAAUUUGUUGUCAUUGAUUUUAAUGAAGCAAAAAUCUCAUGCUAUGGCU